rnacentral:rRNA from 1 species
GACGAACGCUGGCGGCGUGCUUAACACAUGCAAGUCGAACGAAGAGCGAUGGAAGCUUGCUUCUAUCAAUCUUAGUGGCGAACGGGUGAGUAACGCGUAAUCAACCUGCCCUUCAGAGGGGGACAACAGUUGGAAACGACUGCUAAUACCGCAUACGAUCUAAUCUCGGCAUCGAGGAUAGAUGAAAGGUGGCCUCUACAUGUAAGCUAUCACUGAAGGAGGGGAUUGCGUCUGAUUAGCUAGUUGGAGGGGUAACGGCCCACCAAGGCGAUGAUCUGUAGCCGGUCUGAGAGGAUGAACGGCCACAUUGGGACUGAGACACGGCCCAGACUCCUACGGGAGGCAGCAGUGGGGAAUCUUCCGCAAUGGACGAAAGUCUGACGGAGCAACGCCGCGUGAGUGAUGACGGCCUUCGGGUUGUAAAGCUCUGUUAAUCGGGACGAAAGGCCUUCUUGCGAACAGUUAGAAGGAUUGACGGUACCGGAAUAGAAAGCCACGGCUAACUACGUG